rnacentral:rRNA from 1 species
AUACGGAGGGGACUAGCGUUGUUCGGAAUUACUGGGCGUAAAGAGUUCGUAGGCGGACUGAUAAGUAAGAGGUGAAAUCCCAGGGCUCAACCCUGGAACUGCCUUUUAAACUGUCAGUCUAGAGACCGGAAGAGGUUAGGGGAAUACCUAGUGUAGAGGUGAAAUUCGUAGAUAUUAGGUGGAACACCAGUGGCGAAGGCGCCUAACUGGUCCGGUACUGACGCUGAGGUGCGAAAGCGUGGGGAGCGAACAGGAUUAGAAACCCCAGUAGUCC